rnacentral:rRNA from 1 species
AAAACAUGUCUGUUUGAAGAUAUAAAAAGUCUAGCCUGCUCACUGAUAUUGUUUUAAGAGCCGCGGUAUUUCUGACUGUGCAAAGGUAGCAUAAUCGUUAGUUUUUUAAUUGAAAUCUUGUAUGAAUGGUUUGACAAAAAAAAGACUGUCUUUAUAAUUAUUAAUUGAAUUUAACUUUUAAGUGAAAAGGCUUAAAUAAAUUAAAAAGACGAUAAGACCCUAUAAAGCUUGAUAUUAAUUUUUUAUUUAAUAAAAUUAUUUUUGUAUAAAUGUUUGGUAAAAAUUUUUAUUUUAUUGGGGUGAUAAUGGUAAAAUGAUUAUUAACUGUUAAUUUUUUAAAAACAAAAAUCGAUGAAUAAAAAAUUUUAUUUAAUAAAUGAUCCUAUUUAAAGAUUAAAAGUUUAAGUUACUUUAGGGAUAACAGCGUAAUUUUUUUUUGAGAGUCCUUAUCGAGAAAAAAGUUUGCGACCUCGAUGUUGAAUUAAAAUGUCUGUAUAAUUGUAGCAGUUAUAUAAGAAGGUCUGUUCGA